ACGCUCGACACCUACAGGAGGCAGCAGUCGGGAAUAUUGCGCAAUGGAGGAAACUCUGACGCAGUGACGCCGCGUAUAGGAAGAAGGUUUUCGGAUUGUAAACUAUUGUCGUUAGGGAAGAGAAAGGACAGUACCUAAGGAGGAAGCUCCGGCUAACUACGUGCCAGCAGCUGCGGUAAUCUGAGCGGGCUGGCAAGGC
rnacentral:rRNA from 1 species